UUCUCUUCUAAUUUGACUGUUAAAUUUGUUUGAGUUGUUUAUAGAAAGAAAAAUUAUGUAUGCUAUUCUUAACAAAAAUAAAAAUAGAUUUAUAACUAUUAUAGAUCUUCACAAGCUUAUUAAUACUUUGAAGUUAAAAAUCUCACUUAUCUUUAAUGUCAACCAUGGACAUAGUAUUUUAACAUCUAUAAAAGAGGGCAAUAACAAAGUUCAAAGUCUAUGC
rnacentral:lncRNA from 1 species